rnacentral:rRNA from 1 species
GACGAACGCUGGCGGCGUGCUUAACACAUGCAAGUCGAGCGGUAAGGCCCUUUCGGGGGUACACGAGCGGCGAACGGGUGAGUAACACGUGGGUGACCUGCCCUUAGCUCUGGGAUAAGCCUGGGAAACUGGGUCUAAUACCGGAUAUGACUCCAUGACGCAUGUUGUGGGGUGGAAAGCCUUGUGCGGCUAGGGAUGGGCCCGCGGCCUAUCAGCUUGUUGGUGGGGUGAUGACCACCAAGGCGACGACGGGUAGCCGGCCUGAGAGGGCGACCGGCCACACUGGGACUGAGACACGGCCCAGACUCCUACGGGAGGCAGCAGUGGGGAAUCUUGCGCAAUGGGCGAAAGCCUGACGCAGCGACGCCGCGUGGGGAGUGACGGCCUCGGUUGUAACGU